UUUAAGUGCAACCAUAAGUUUCCGCGCCCAAUUUUGAUCGUUCGUCUUAUUUGAAAAUUUUUUAUAAUUAGUAUUUUUGUUGUUAUGAGAGGAUAAAAUAUGAAUAGCACUUUACUCGUGAUUAUGUCUUUAAGUUUUUUUAAUAAGAUGGACGAUUAAAGUUGGGUACGAAAAACUAUGGCUACACUUAGA
rfam:Oryza glaberrima chromosome 1 Oglab01_0003_44, whole genome shotgun sequence.